ensembl:lncRNA
ACCGCCGGCAACCGACGGGGCGGCCCGGGCUCGGCCGCUGGGAGCACGGCGGAGAGCUGCAGGCGGCGAGGCCCGGAGCGGCGAGCUCCAUCCAGCGCGGGUGAGUGGCGGAGACCCGCGCCCUGCCCUCGCUCCCGGCCCCGCGAGGCCGCUCCGAUGGGGGGAGUUGGGAGCUCCGCGCGGACCCCGCCGUCGGGGCGCCCCGCGAGGUGCCCUCCCGUCGGGGCCGCGCUGCGCUGCCCGGCCCGAGGGGCUGUUUACCCGGGCGGGGGGAGGCAGAUAAGGCGGAGGGGAAAUGCCGGGGCUGUUUGCUGAGGGAUUAGGGCCGGUCCCGCCGCGCCGGGGCCCGGGAUGGGGGUGGGGUGGGGGGGCGGCGGGCGCGGUGGGUGUCCCCGCGGAGAAGUCCGUUUGGAGAUCUGCGCUGAUUAACUGAGGGCUGCGGUGGCUGAAGAGGGCCCUGGCGCCAGGCGGCUGAGCCCUCACAAUAAAGACCCGUCUCUUGUCACUUCAUAUUUACCCCCAAAUCUUCAAAAAGCGCCCUGCGAUCCUUACAAGGCUCCUGCCCCCGCCGCCUGCGCUGCGGCCAGACGGGACGGGGACGGGGGGGCGGAGGCGGCCCCCUCCUCUGCCCACGGCUCCGCGGGUGCGCAGCGACGCGCUGCCUUCCUGGGGACCGCGCUGGGCCGCUCCCCGCGGAGGGUGAGACGCGGGGACCCCCGGCAGCCCUCUCCCCACCGCCACCUCUCCGCUGUUUCUCCCCACAUCGUGGUUCAUCGUGCUGCCAGCAAACCCCGGUGCUGCGAAGGGCCCGAGGAGAAGCCCCGGAGGCGGCCGCAUCCCGCCCCGUCCCGCGGCAGGUUCACCUCCAGCCGUCGCCUCCCGACGGGGCGGACACAGCGCGGCCACCGCGGAGCUGCCCUCACCGCCCCGGCCGCCGCGCGGGGCUGAGGGGGGUGUGUGUGUCUGGGGGGGGGGGGGGAUCGGUCCCGCUGACCAUUGAACGGGGCGAGGUGGCGAGCGGGGAUUGAAAUUUAGACCUCAUUUGGACUUUGCUUCCUCGCCACCGUCGAAAUGUGCUGACUGCAGCUUUGGCAAAAAUGGGGCUUGCUUGGGCUUUUUUUUUCCCUUUUUUUUUUCCCCCUCCCCUCCAAGCACACCCGGAUCCUCGCGUUGCCCCAGGGCCACAUCACCCCACUCCAGGGCACUGCGCAGACCCGCAGACACCGCACCCGCAGCUCCGAGGGGCAGUGCGGGGCCCCGCAAAGAAACGUCGCCUCUCCCCGGGCCCAGGUUCCGGGACCCCCCCGGCACAGCUGUAACGUCGCGAACGCCCACGCCUGCAGAAUAAAAACCGAUCCAGAGCCGCCUCGUCUCCCCGAGCCUCUGUGGCAGCGCCCGUCGGUGGGACAGCCGAGCCGGUAGACUUAGGCCUUGGCGCCAGGCCGUUUAAGACCUGUCAAAGUCCUUCAUAUUUCCCUCAUGUCACAUGGACCUUUCGCUCCCUUCCCCGCGCCAUGCGAGGGCCGUAAUUUGGAUCUGUGAGCUGGUGAGCAAAUGCAAUUUGCUCUUCUCCAUCGCUGCGUUGUCUCCGUGACCCCAGCCAGCAGGACGGCUGGUGUCCUGUCCGGGGCACUUACACAAAUUGCGGCUGAUUGAUGAAAAAUAACAAUUCUCCGAGCAGUCGGGCCUCCGUCUUCCCCUCCUCCCGGCUCCUCCGGGCUGAGGCGGCUCCGCGCCCCGGGGCGCUCCUCUCGACGGUGCGGGGCCGCCCCACGAACCGCCGCCGGCCGCCUCUGGAGUGACUCUCGGAUUGAGCCAAAAAGGGGUUUUCUUCUCGUGCUGGAAGCGAGCCGUCGGGGCCCGCUUCUCGGCAGAGAUGAAGGGCGUUGUACGCCUGGGCCCUGACGGAGCCGGGCAGCAGCGGCCGUUGUGCACCUUCCAGAGGUGGGAAAAGGCCGGGCCGCGAAAGAGCCGGGUCCGCUGCGGGGGGUUCCUCAGCCCGGUGGGGCCGCCGAGGGCCGGGCUGAGCGGCUGUCCAUCACCGGACGUGGGGCACCAGAGUCCUCUGCACGUGCAGUGCACAGCAAUCCCGCAGGUGCGGGCUGGGAGCUCGUGGAAAUAACCCUUCGCCCUCGGAGGAGCGGCCCCGAAGCUCUCUGCCACUUUUCUCCCUCUCCACCUGGAGAAGAGACACGGGGGAACGUCCCCGCCCCGCGCUGAGGUGCCCGUCGAGGGGCGGCGGCUGCCCCACAGGUGGGGCGGGGAGAGACCCGAUGAUCGCCCCGUCCCGGGCCCCGUGGGAUGCGCCUUUAUGGAUAGCGAUGCCCGGCCCCGGCCACACCACCUCUUCCCGCUGUGCGCCCCGUCCGUGCGGAGGGAACCCCGGCACCCCCUGAGCUCCCCCCACCCUCAGCCUGUUUAGAUUUCUCUCCGAAUGUUUCCCGUAAUCCAGAUUUCUGGAAAAUAACCACACGCGGGCAGACGCGGCCACGAACGCCGCUGAAGUUUAUCCGGAGUUUUACCAACGUAUAAACACAUUUCCAGCCCGUUCGGCGGGGCGGGCGCUGGGUGACCCCUGCCCGGCACCGGGGCUGCACCGCGCUCCGCCCUCGUUACCUCCGCGCCGCUUUGAUCCGGAGCCCUCCGAGCUCCGCCGCUUGAUUGAGUUUUUCAUUAGGGCUGCAGAACAGCACUGCCCCGGGUCUGCAGGAGAGCGCUGAGAAAACAAAGGCAGCCCAAACAAAUCACCGCUGCCCGCAGCAGUGACAGCGCGCAGUGCUGCACCUGUCCUCACACUGCUCUCAGUCGCUGGGACCCAACGCCGCGUGGACAGCCAUCCAUCAUUGCUCUGAUUCACAUCUCCAGAGAGCAGCGCUGCCCUGAGCCGCUCUGCAUUUCCCCUCCAUGCUGAAACCCUUUCCUCGGUCCGUCUGUCCUUCCCACUUGCCAUCUGUCUCCCAUCCUUCAAAUAUCACCUUAAAAACAGUCCCUCCACCCUCACAUUGGGGUCCCCCACUCACUCACUGUGCCCUCCCACACGUGGGCUGUGUGUGUUGGCACCGUCCGGGCACCGGGAUGUGUUUGGCAUCGGCCCCAUCUUACGGCCCUAUAAUAAUAUUGUAAAUCCUCACCGGAAAGUAAUUACACCCCAUAAAAGGAGCAGCAGUCUGUGGUCGGAGCCAGGGCCGCUCUGUGACACCCAUUUUAAAGAGAUGUUUCGUGCCUUAUUUAUAGAUUAGAUUUUAACCUGACAACCUUUUAACAUUGUAUUAAAUCAGAAAUUAACUCCGUCUGACUGCUCACCGUGUAAUUGACCCACGGAGGGGCAGAGCGUGGGGGAAUACUGAAGACACGUUUCAGACAGCAAAGUUCCCAAGGAGAUUCCAAACCUUCUCCUUGGUGGAGGGCAGGACUUCGCUAUUAAUUAGUAUGUGUGGUCAGGUGGUGGGGUGGGCAUGGAGGAGGGGCUCUGGGGAGGGGAUGGCAGGAGAUGUGGACAGGGACA